UGCGUAGGCGGAUCAAUAAGUCAGUGGUGAAAUCUCUCGGCUCAACCGGGAAACUGCCAUUGAUACUGUUGAUCUUGAGUUCGGUUGAGGUAGGCGGAAUGUGUAAUGUAGCGGUGAAAUGCUUAGAUAUUACACAGAACACCAAUUGCGUAGGCAGCUUACUAGACCGACACUGCCGCUGAGGCACGAAAGCGUGGGGAGCGAACAGGAUUAGAUACCCUGGUAGUCC
rnacentral:rRNA from 1 species